UGGAAAGGGAGGAGGGCCCCUGGGAAUCAGGGCAGCAGGUGGUGCUGGUGGUGAAAAAUCCAUGGUCUGAGAGACUGCAAGCACAGAAGUAACUGUCCCGAUGAGAGAGGAGGGCGGCUGCAGAGAAGCUGCAGAGAAAGACUGUGCCCAGAACAGGAACCUCUGACUAAAAAAAUAAGAAAAAAUCAGCCAUUUCAAGGUAAUAUUCCCAGAACACCAGUGUGAUGGGACCCAGGGACAGAGAUCCAGUUUCAGGAAGCACUUUAUAAUAGAAAUAGAAGGUAUAAGUGAUUCUAGAACUUAGGAUUGUCAUUUUGGGAGGUGUAACAGGAUGAGGCAAAGAGAGGAUGAGCUCAAGGCUGGAUCGGGAGCUCAUGGAAGGCCAGUCUCCACCACUCACUCACUCUCCAUCCCUCUUGGAUAUCAAGCAGGUGACUUCUACAUCCAUCUGGAUGGCCCCGACUGGAGUUGACGUCCUCAGCUCUAAUGCCCUUUACUGCUCUCCUUGUCACUCAUGCAAUGGACAGACUUCAGCACUUGCCAUCCUGUGAACUAC